rnacentral:lncRNA from 1 species
AUGGGGCACAUACAAUGGGCCGAGCACUAUAUUAAGUGCUCGGGAGAUUACAAUAUACUACAACUAGCAGACACGUUCCCUCCCCAUAACAAGCUUACAGUCCAGACCCAAACGGUCACUCAACUUGGUCUAAACCCCCUGGCAUGCCAGGUGGUCAAUAUUGGCUACUCCAGACCCUCCCUGUCUCUGCUUCCUGUCCUCUUAUCCUCUUCCCGUCCAGGCGGGUGGGGUGUGCUUCCUCUGCAGCGUCCUGGCUCUAGGCCACGUGAGGAACCAGAAGUUAAUGGGACCAGUGUUGGCUGCGGACAGAAGGCCAGGGGGUUUCCUGCCUGCUCAGAGGGUCUCCUGGAGAAUCGCUCGGAGGCUCACCAGGCUGUCAGCGCUCAUCAGGUUCCUGGACCGUCGCCAGCCUGUUCUGGGACCGAAGCUGGUCACUUCUCUUCCCCAACAUUUCCAGAGGCGGUCUGCAUCGGAUCAGCUGGGGUAAAAAAACAACAAAAAACCCUCGUCCUCCCCAGCCCCCACUCUUUAAAAUAGUAUUCAGCACUUAUAUGUCAAGCACUGUCCUAUGUGCUGGGGUACAAUGCUUGAUAAUCAAGUUGGACACAGUCCCUGUCGAUCAAUAUUAUUUCUUGAGCACGUACUUUGGUGGGGAGUACUGUACUAAGCGCUUGGGAGAGUACAAUGUAACAGAAUUAGCAGUCACUCCCUGCCUAUAGUGAGUUUACAUGGUCUUCAUCCACGUUUUACAGAUGAGGUAACUGAAGCCCAGUGAAGUGAAUUGCCCACAGCCACACAGCAGGUAAGCGUCAGAGUCGGGAUUAGAAACCAGAUUCCCUUUCCCAUCCUGCCCUACUGAAUCCAUUCUAACUGUAAACGGGGGUGUUGGGUGACCCCAGGGGGUGUGUAACCCCUUUCUUGCCCCUACAUCAGUCCCCCUCAGGGACAUCCCACUCCCAUUGGCUCUGCCUCCUGGGCCCCGGGCUCCCAUUGGCCGCUUGUGGGCUCCUCGGCCUGGGAUUGGCUGGCCCGGGAGAGAUGCACCCGUUCAUUCAAUAGUAUUUAUUGAGCACUUACUAUGUGCAAAGCACUGUACUAAGCACUUGGAAUGUACAAAUCGGUAACGGAUAGACAGUCCCUGCCCUUUGACGGGCUUACAGUCUAACCCUUGCCUGUCUGUCCCCAGGAGAGCCAAAAUGGAAGACUGCUGGGAGCUCAGAAGGGGAUGUGCUGGAGCUGCUGACCUUUCGCUGACCACUCCCUGGACACCAAGACUCAAUCAACCAGCCCCCGUGGAUCCCGGCUGCCCCCUACCCCAUUGCCCAAGACUGCUUUCUUUUGAGGUGGCCUCUCUCAGGGACUCCAGCCUUCUGGCUCUUGGUUGGCUCCUCCAGGAUGUGAUGGGACUUGGGCUGAGUGGACGUGUGAGUGUCACCGGGGACUUAGGGUGGGGCGAGAGGCAGUAUAUGUGAGGAGGGGGCUUCCCUUUUCUUGGCGGGGAGAUGCUAGACUCAGGGCCGGGGGCCUUGGGCAGGGGCUCUGCUUGUUUAUGACCCGACUUUGGAGUUGGGAAGAGGCCUGGGGCCCUCAAUUCUAUAGACAGGCCUAACUCCCCUCCACGGCCCGGUCAGCAGAGACCCCCACCCUUCUCCUGCCCCCUGAGUCUAUCAUCUCCCCAUCAAGCUUUGAGGGAGCCCCCGGGGAAGGGGCGGGGAUCCAGUGCCAGGGCUAGAGCAGAGGUAGCUGUCACUGAGGGUGUGUGAUCAAAUGAUCUCUCCUGGAGGAGCGGGGGGGAGAAUGUAACUAACGUGGGAGCGCCCCUCUUCCACCCCCAAUCAGAGAGGGGCAUGAAGAAGAGGCCUUCAAAAGAAAUCACAUUGUCUGCCCUUCCUCCCACUUAGCUUGGCUUUGUAUGUGACGGUUGGAAAUAAAAUAUUUGUUAUUUAUGGCAUGCCUCUUGUUCUCACUUUGGGGAAGUUGGGGAUGGGGGGAUACCAGGGCUACUAGGGCUCAGCCUAGUGCCAGGCUCCAGAGUGGGGCAGGAGGGGGACCGGGUGGGCAGAAAUGGAUUGACAGAAAAUCUGCCAGGUGUCAGACCGGCUGUCAGUAUGGAGAGGUAGGAAUUCCAGGAGGCUGGUGACGUUUUUCAUUCUUAUCCCUUCUGUGUGUGUGCUAGAUCCGGGGUGUGUGUGUGUGGUGGGAUGACUGGACACGGAUGAGAGUUAGGGCUUUUGGGACUGAGGGAGGAUGUGGGGAACACCUGAUUAAAAUCAUCAGUGACGUUUAUUGAGGAUAAUACAACGGAGUCACACAGUGGAAAGAACACUAGUCUGGGAGGUGGAUCUGAGUUCUAAUCCUGACUCUUGCUUGAUUUGUGACCUGAGGUAAGUCACUUCACUUGUAUGUGCUGCAGUUUCCUCAAGGGUAAAAUGGGGAUCCAGUACUAGUUCUUCCUCCUAUUUAGACUGUGAACUCCACGCGGGGAAGAGUCUCUGUUCGACCUGAUUAUCAUGUAUCUACCUCAGCGCUUAUUACAGUGCUUUGUGUAUAGCAAGAGUUUAACAAAUACGAUGAACAACAGAAAACUGAAUAUCUAUUCUAAAAGCCAGAAGGGGUCAUUACAAGAGUUCUCCGCCAGGGGGCAGUGUUGCUACGUGCGGAGACCCAAGAACGUGUGUGUGCUAAUUAAUAAUAAUGUUGGUAUUUGUUAAGCGCUUACUAUGUGAAGAGCACUGUUCUAAGCACCGGGGUAGAUACAGGGUAAGCAGGGUGUCCCACGUGAGGCUCACAGUCUUAAUCCCCA